rnacentral:rRNA from 1 species
AGCGUAAUAGCUCACUGGUCGAGUCGGCCUGCGCGGAAGAUGUAACGGGGCUAAACCAUGCACCGAAGCUGCGGCAGCGAACGUAUCACUUAAAGCGAUUCAGCGGGUUACGAUUGACGGAGCGAAGCGACGUCAAAGCGUAUACAAAGUCGAGUCGGUUUAAGGAUACGUUCGUUGGGUAGGGGAGCGUUCUGUAAGCCUGUGAAGGUGGCCUGUGAGGGUUGCUGGAGGUAUCAGAAGUGCGAAUGCUGACAUAAGUAACGAUA